GACAGAGGGUGCAAACGUUGCUCGGAAUCACUGGGCGUAAAGCGCACGUAGGCGGCUUUCUAAGUCAGGGGUGAAAUCCUGGAGCUCAACUCCAGAACUGCCUUUGAUACUGGAGAGCUUGAGUCCGGAAGAGGUGAGUGGAACUCCGAGUGUAGAGGUGAAAUUCGUAGAUAUUCGGAAGAACACCAGUGGCGAAGGCGGCUCACUGGUCCGGUACUGACGCUGAGGUGCGAAAGCGUGGGGAGCAAACAGG
rnacentral:rRNA from 1 species